GCCUGGGUGGCUCAGUCGGUUGAGCGUCCGACUUCGGCUCAGGUCAUGAUCUCGCGGUCUGUGAGUUCGAGCCCCGCAUCAGGCU
rnacentral:tRNA from 1 species